CCUACGGGUGGCAGCAGUGAGGAAUAUUGGUCAAUGGGCGCAAGCCUGAACCAGCCAAGUCGCGUGAGGGAAGACGGUCCUAUGGAUUGUAAACCUCUUUUGUCGGGGAGCAAAGCGCGGUACGAGUACCGCGCAGGAGAGUACCCGCAGAAAAAGCAUCGGCUAACUCCGUGCCAGCAGCCGCGGUAAUACGGGGGAUGCGAGCGUUAUCCGGAUUUAUUGGGUUUAAAGGGUGCGUAGGCGGAUUUGUAAGUCAGCGGUAAAAAUGCGGUGCGCAACGCCGUAUCGCCGUUGAAACUGCAGGUCGUGAGUGAGGGAGAAGGAUGCGGAAUUCCUAGUGUAGCGGUGAAAUGCGUAGAUAUUAGGAGGAACACCAGUGGCGAAGGCGGCUGACUGGACGGUAACUGACGUUGAGGCUCGAAAGCGUGGGGAGCAAACAGGAUUAGAUACCCAGUAGUC
rnacentral:rRNA from 1 species